rnacentral:rRNA from 1 species
GACAGGGGAGGCAACGUUGUUCGGAAUUACUGGGCGUAAAGCGCGUGUAGGCGGCCCUGCAAGUCGGAUGUGAAAUCCCACGGCUCAACCGUGGAAGUGCAUUCGAAACUGCAGGGCUAGAGUCCUGGAGAGGAAGGUGGAAUGCUUGGUGUAGAGGUGAAAUUCGUAGAUAUCAAGCGGAACACCGGUGGCGAAGGCGGCCUUCUGGACAGUGACUGACGCUGAGACGCG